rnacentral:rRNA from 1 species
GACGAACCGUGCGAACGUUGUUCGGAAUCACUGGGCUUAAAGGGCGCGUAGGCGGGCGAGCAAGGUCGGGGUGAAAUCUUUCGGCUCAACCGGAAAAGGGCCUCGGAGACUGCUCGUCUGGAGGGAGGUAGGGGCAGGUGGAACUGCUGGUGGAGCGGUGAAAUGCGUUGAUAUCAGCAGGAACGCCGGUGGCGAAAGCGACCUGCUGGACCUCUUCUGACGCUGAGGCGCGAAAGCUAGGGGAGCAAACGGG